ACGGAAGGCAGCAGUGGGGAAUAUUGCACAAUGGGGGAAACCCUGAUGCAGCAACGCCGCGUGAAGGAAGACGGUCUUCGGAUUGUAAACUUCUGUUCUUAGUGAAGAUAAUGACGGUAGCUAAGGAGCAGGCCACGGCUAACUACGUGCCAGCAGCCGCGGUAAUACGUAGGUGGCAAGCGUUGUCCGGAAUUACUGGGUGUAAAGGGAGCGCAGGCGGGAAAUCAAGUUGGAUGUGAAAUGUCGGGGCUUAACCCCGGAACUGCAUCCAAAACUGAUUUUCUUGAGUGAAGUAGAGGUAGGCGGAAUUCCGAGUGUAGCGGUGAAAUGCGUAGAUAUUCGGAGGAACACCAGUGGCGAAGGCGGCCUACUGGGCUUUAACUGACGCUGAGGCUCGAAAGUGUGGGGAGCAAACAGGAUUAGAUACCCUGGUA
rnacentral:rRNA from 1 species